GGGCUCCGGGCGGCCGUGACCCUGCUGGAGUCCGGGGGGGACCUCCAGCCCCCCGGGGGGUCCCUGCGCCUCCUCUGCCGAGGACAAGGAUUCCAGUUUGGGGAUUUUGGGAUGUUCUGGAUCCGCCAGAAACCCGGGAAGGCGCUGGAAUGGGUCGCAGGGAUCAGCAGCACUGGUCGUUACAUCGCAUACGCGCCAUCCGUGCGUGGCCGGUUCAGGAUCAGCAGGGACAACGGGCAGAGCUCGGUGACGCUGAGCAUGAACAACCUCCAGGACGAGGAUUCCGGGGUUUAUUUCUGUGCCAAAUGUUACAGUUCUGGUUGUACUUAUGAUAUUUAUGGUGUUGACGAACUUUGCCCUUAUCAUGUCCCAGCGCUGAGCGCUGAGCCCAAAUCCCCGCCCGGGGCCCCCUGA